rnacentral:rRNA from 1 species
GUCGAGAAUAAUUCACAAUGGACGAAAGUCUGAUGGUGCAACGCCGCGUGGAGGAUGACGGUCUUCGGAUUGUAAACUCCUGUCAUCCGGGAGUAAGACCUGGCUGUGAAUAGCAGACAGGGUUGAUAGUACCGGAAGAGGAAGGGACGGCUAACUUCGUGCCAGCAGCCGCGGUAAUACGAAGGUCCCGAGCGUUGUUCGGAAUCACUGGGCGUAAAGGGAGCGUAGGCGGCGUGGUAAGUCAGAUGUGAAAUCCCGGGGCUCAACCCCGGAACUGCAUCCGAUACUGCCGUGCUAGAGGAUUGGAGAGGUAGCUGGAAUUCUGGGUGUAGCAGUGAAAUGCGUGGAGAUCAAGAGGAACACUCGUGGCGAAAGCGAGCUACUGGACAAUAUCUGACGCUGAGGCUCGAAGGCCAGGGUAGCGAAAGGGAUUAGAAACCCUAGUAGUCC